GCCGCCUUAGCUCAGUUGGUAGAGCGUCGCUUUUGUAAAGCGAGGGUCCUCGGUUCGAGUCCGAGAGGCGGCU
rnacentral:tRNA from 2 species